CAGUAGCCGCGGUAAUACAGAGGGUGCGAGCGUUAAUCGGAUUUACUGGGCGUAAAGCGUGCGUAGGCGGCUUUUUAAGUCGGAUGUGAAAUCCCUGAGCUUAACUUAGGAAUUGCAUUCGAUACUGGGAAGCUAGAGUAUGGGAGAGGAUGGUAGAAUUCCAGGUGUAGCGGUGAAAUGCGUAGAGAUCUGGAGGAAUACCGAUGGCGAAGGCAGCCAUCUGGCCUAAUACUGACGCUGAGGUACGAAAGCAUGGGGAGCAAACAGGAUUAGAGACCCGGGUAGUCCCUGUCUCUUAUAC
rnacentral:rRNA from 1 species